rnacentral:lncRNA from 1 species
GUUGCACUCAUGAUGUUGUGUGACUUCUCAGCUUGCUGGUUCCCUUGUUCCUAUUGCAAUGAUCUCAUUAUUGGCAUUUUGUUUUCAAAGUGUUAUCUGUCCCAUUUUGCAUUAUGCGUCUGUGUGGCUCGGCCUUAAGGCACUGUCUACCACUUUUCUUUCAACCACACAUCUUCUUAAAGAAUAUUCUGAAGAUGAAACAUCUUCCAUUAGCUUUGUUUUGUUUUAAUUUUUGCGGAAUGGGGGGAAGGAGAAUUCAUGCUCUCAUAAUUAUCUUCUUUAGUUUGAAUGACAGAACUGGACUUCGGGCAUCAGUUUGCAGUGAGAUCCAGACAAAUUGGGUCCAUUCUCUAGACUUGGUUUAAAAAAAAAAUUGAACAGCGUGAAGGAAAUGAGCCACAGGAGCCAUUCUCUUCCUCUUCCCUGGACCCUAGUGCACCUUUUCUUUUGUGCUGUCACUUGGCCCCACUUCUCACAUGACACAGCCUCUUUCCCUGCCCCAGGGGCCCUUUCUGGUUCUGCAGUUCUUUGGGAGUCUGUUGCUUUGUUUGUACCACUCGUUGGACAAGAAACACCAAUCAAAGUCCAGACUCUAAGUUCAUUUUGGCUCUAAUCCAUGCUCUUUUGGCUGUCCCACCCCUCUCUCUCUGUGCAUCACCCUGUUUAUCUCCAUGACCAGAUCCCUAACUCCCCAACAGAAAAUCACAUAUUUUAUAUCUAUCAUUACCCAGCUUCCUCAACCACCCCAUGCACUCAUAAUGAGGUCUUCAAAUAGUUGUUGCUCAUGGGAUUGGUUAAGAAAAAGAUUGGAGAGAAACGGAAUAGAUCUUCAUCUCCACACUGUUUCCUUCAAUCUUAUCAAUUUGUAAUUAUGUGUUUAUUUAUCUUUUUACUUAUUGACUGCUCCCCCUUCCCUCGAACUGUAAGCCUCAUAAAGGCUGGGAAAUGUGUCUGCUUUGUUGACCAAGUUAUGCCCAAUGCUGGCCAAAAUAAACAUGUUUAAUGAAUCUCUGUGGAAUAUAGGAGUGAAUAUAGAGGAGAAGGAGCUUAUUCAGGGUGGAUUUUCGCUCACCCUAAAGAAGUGAAAUGAAAGCAAACUUUGGUGGUUUUUGUUUAACUGUGAGCAAAUUGGUAUGGACUGAGAAAUUCAAUUAACUGUAUUCAUCAAUUUUUGUCUCUGGGGUACAGUCAUGAGAGUAAGACCCAGAAUUCUUGGUCCCACCCCUUUUGUGGCAUUAAAAAAAAAGCCUUGGCAUAUUACACCAACCAGAUUUUUUUCUUUGUCUCAAAGAAGGCUCAGCUGAAUGUUACAUUCCUCCCCCUCAUACAACAAUCAAAAACUCAGAAAACCUCAGCUGCCUCAGAUGAUGUCACAAAACCCUUAAGAAUGCUCACUGCUGAGUUGGGCACAGGUCCAGCAAACACAAUUCUUUCUGCCAGUUAUUCAGGGUCUUUGACAGAUUAGGUGGUCUUUUUUCUUCUUCUUCUUCUUUUUUUCAUCCUCUUAAAAGGCAGUUCAGUUUACCUCUAAGCAAGACAUUAGCUCUGGCUGCCCCAAAUAACAUUUUAAUUGAAGUCUCAGUCCAAACAAAUGCCUGGCCUCUUUAUUAACCCCAACAGUGUAAUUUUUCAACCUAAGACUGAUUCAGGGGGAAACUGUCUCACUUAAACUGCCAUGCAACGGAACAUGGCAGUUUUCCUCAAUCAGUCUCUUUUCUGACCUUAAUUUGAACCUUAAUCUCUUUUAACCAUGUUCUCUUUAUUAGCUGCUCAUAGCCGUGGCACAAUGCUAAUUUUCCUGUUUUUAGACUAUCAGUUUACAGAGGUAUUUCACUCCCCCUCAUGCCCCCAACUGUAACCAAGAUUUCAUGGACCUUCUUGGGAAAGGAAAGGACAGAAGAGCUCCUUGGCACUGGAACCCUCCUGGUCUGGUGAGGGAGGAAUGAGGAUACACAGGCGCCAUCCAAAACUUCCUAUGUUCAGAUUGAGGAAAGAGGUGGGCCAGGCCUUUGGAUUCUCAUUACCUAAGGACGGUUCUGACUGUGAGAGCAAAUCACAGAAGGGCUCUUGGAGGAUGUGUGUUCCGGAUGGUGUAGCUACAAGAUAGAAGCCACUCAGCCUACAUCCUGAACAGGAAAUAACUUGUAUUUUGUUAUACUAUUCAGAUUUUGGGGGUUGUUUAGUACCGAAACGUCCCUAUCCCAUUAUGAAUAAUAUGCUUGAAGUAUUUCAGUAAGGAAGGAAUUCAAGGUAAGGAAUUAGAGGUUUACAGAAUCAAAUCAUUAGGAGAGCUAGGCAGUGAAGGUCAAGGAGGUUGUUACUAACUUUCAGGAAAUCAGAAGUGAAGGAAUCACCAGGAACUCAAGUUGCCACUGAUAAUUUCAGCUGCCUGCAGCACUCAAGGGGGUGAGUCUUAGGAUGAUGCUCAGAAGCUGACACAUAGACACAUGUCUGCUGUCUGCCAAUGCCCACACACCUGCUUGUAGCUACUGAUAGAAGAAAAUAGCUUUUUCUUUCCGCCUUCCAAUGAUUGCAAGAGCACCUCUCAAUGGCAGAUUGUACCAAGAACCCUCUUGGCAAGGAAGCCUGGGAAAUGUAGUUUCCAGGCUUUCAGCCCUUGUUGUACAGAGGGGAGCUUAGAAAGACAAAGGUGGUAUUUACUGAGUCUCAAAAAAUGUCUGGUACCAGUGCUCCUUGUCCUUCUCGUGGGAAAUUCAAGUUGGUCAUCCCUCCUUACCCAUUUUCUCUUGACUCUUUCUUGAGGGCAGAUCUUAAUAAAUUCUCUAUCCCCUGGUGCCAGACAAUACCAGAGAAAAAAUUGUUCUGAAUUGAUUUGAAUGGAAUGACAACAGAAUCAAUAGGAAAUAAAGUUAUCCCCGUGUGUUUAA